ACAUAUAAAGAAACGGUAACAUAUAAUGUCGUUGCUAAUCGACGACUUUCGUUGCUGAUUCAACAUAAUGUCGUUGCCAAAUAAUAUAAUCAGCAAUGAAAAUCGUUGCUAAAAAGUUUACAUUUCGCAACGAAAGCAAGCGUAGGCAACAAUUUUCAUAAUUUACUGCAACGAAAAAUGUUGCAAAAUGGUGUCAAUUGCAACGAAAAUGCAUGGUUGUUGCAAAACAAAGAGUUCAUUUCGUUGCCAAUUAGUAGGCUUUUGCAACGAAAUGAGGUUUUUAGCAACGAAAUUUUAAUUAUUCUGCAACAAUACAUUUUGUUGCUAAAGGAUCGAUGUAUCUAUACGAAAGCUAAAUUUCGUUGCAAAAUGUAUUACUUUUGGCAACAAAAAAAAUACGUUCGUUGCGAAAAAAUUAGAAACGAAAUUUGGUACCUUUAGCAACGAAAAUCGGUUGUUGCUGAAGCCCCAUUUUUAUGUAGUGUGUCCUUAGUAUCUUUUUGGCAAGUAAGGGACCACUCAUGUGUGGUCCACAUACUCCACCGUGCACUUUGUUUAUAAUCCUCUGAGCUUGGUCUUUAUCUAGACAUCUUAGGAGUCCCAUGCUUACGUCUCUUUUGUAGACAUCAUCUUUACGUCAUUUUCUGGAUUCGCUUUCUUUCCACUUGGCUUACCCAAGUGGGUAUAGAUAUAUCCCUCAAAUAUUCUUUGAUAUUCUAGUAUUAGGGCAGUUUUGUGGGAAACAUUUCAUCUGAUACUUAUCUAAAAUAAUUCCCAUAGGUUGGGGCAAUCUAUGUUGUGAACUCCAUAACAGGGAUCCCCUUCCUUGUAGAUACAUGGAUUAAGGAAGCCAAAGUUGCUAAUGAGUCUGGGAAAUCAUUUAGAUUUUGAGGAAUGUGUAUGAAGGCUAUAUCCUCGAAUUCCCUAGCCAUCUGGAUAACCUGCUAAUGAUAGGGCAGUAAAUGUAGCUCUUUGGUGUGAUAUGUUGUGACACCCCCAAAUUUAGACACUUAUAUCUUGAAUUCAGUGCUUCACGAUCUAACUCAAUUAACAAACUAAAAUCUCAAACAACAGAAUAAUAAAAUAAUUUACAUUGACAUAAUAUAAAUAUUCUCGUCCCAAGGUCUCGUAACCGUUACUAACUUAAUACAUAGCUUAAACCGUCACUUAACUUAAUACAUAAUACAAAAUAAGUUCUAUUAUAAACAUAAGAACAAUAUGCUUCUAGCAUAAAGCACUAAAGCUACCCCAUAACCUUGCCCUUAUCCUUCCCCGAAGUACUUCCGUGCUCUGCCUUAACUGAAGUGUUUUAAGUAAGCAAGAAUGAGCAACAAGUUUUCCUAGCAAGUAAUAUAGCAAUAAGGGUAAACAGGUAUAUAAGUUCAUGAUCUCAAGGGUAUAAUGAUAAAUGACAGUUCAAGAAUUGAAAAAAUAAUGUUGGAAGUAAGAAUUAUCAAUUAUUCCAAAUCUUACCUUUGAAUCGAAAUAAGAGUCACUAUGGACUAAAAGAUAUUCAACGAAAUUCAAAGGUUUCAAUACUUUUAAGGUUUAAAGAAGAUUAAAAACUGAGUAGUCACUAUGGACUAAGAACUCCUGCUAGAAUGAACAAUAUUUAACUGACAAUUCAAUAUAAAUAAGUACAACAGGUGGUCAGCCUAUAGUACUCUACGUUAUACAUAACAUCUAAACAUGCUGUUUGUGCGCACGUCGGUUCCCCGACAAUAUUAAAUUUCCCCUUCUAAGAGGGUUGUUCAUCUCAGUAGAUUUAUAAGAUUCCUUACCAAAGCAAUUAGUUUGGAUCACUUUCUAACACAUGAUACUAGUUUAGCCGAAUCAAAUGACUUAGACAUCUUUCACAAUAAGUUCAAACUCGCAACAUGAUUUAAGAUAUAAAGUUUAAUUUUAAUUUCAAAAUAUGAAUAACGAUUCAAACGAGUAUAGAUAUUUUCUCAAUAAUUCAAAACCUGCACAAUAUUCAAUGCGGUAUAAAUUUAGGAACUUGCAUUCAAUAUAAGAAUCAAAUGAUGUUAGGAAACUUGCGAAAUCAUAGAUUCGUUGCAUAAAAUAAAUGCAUAGGUUAUGAUACUUGACUUUAGCGCUGAUUACCAACUUAUAGUUUAAUUUCACUUCAAAGUUUUAUAGUAUCCUAUUAAUAUAUAUAUAUACACACACACACACUUUAGUUAUACUAGUUCGACAUAUGUACACUAACAUUCUUACACUUCCAUAAUAACCAUGCUUAGUCAUGUACAUCGUAUGCAUAUGAUCAGUUAUGUAUUUAAUAUGCAUUCAAGUCACUAAUUGGUUUAAUCAACCUCGCCUUAGCUUUUGAAAACUCUAAUUAAAUUGGUUCUAUAUACUCAUCACAUGCUUGAACUGUAACGCCCCAGAAAAUCGAACCUUUUGUAAAUACUUUUAAUAAUGAAUAAAAUAAUAUUAUUUAUUAUUACUACGUGUUGAUAAGAUGAAUGUCAUUCUAUAACCUAGAAACGUCGGAAGGCCGUAGUAUUUUAACUACGUGAGAGAAUUAAAGUGUUUGAAUUUCUAAAACGAAAAUAAAAGUUUUCCGAGAAAUUUUCCAAAAAACACUAUUCAUCGAUUUCUGCUCAGGAAUUAUUUUUGAACUUAGGAGAAAUACGUAAUGUUAUAAUAUCAAGGUGAGAUGGAUUAUGUAAUAAUAAUCUAAGUAUGGAAAACGUAAUAUUUCGCAUGCGGACUUAAUUUGGGAACAUUAGGUUUAUUAAGCGUUAAGGAAAGAAAGUUGUAAUCGUAUGAUGCGUAUGCACUAUACGAGGUAAUGAACGUAAGUAUAAUAAGACAUAUUAUACUAUUAUGUAUAGAGAAUGAAAUAACGUAUAUUACAAAUUAAUAUACGAGCUAGCAUAUGAGAAUUAUACGUGAUGUAUAUAUCUUAAGAUUCUUAAUUAAAGUUAAUGGACUUGUAGGAUUAUUAGCAUAAUGGUAGAAGUCCAAUAGAAAGUGAUACUCAAGCCCAAGUGUUUGAUAUGUCAUGAGUCCAAACUAUUGUAAUGCAAGCCCAAUAAGAAAUUAGCUAGAUUAAUUAGCAAGCCCAAGGGGAUUAAGCUAUGACCCAUUGGGCAAACCAAGUGAGAAAUGGGUAGACUUGAUGGGCAAACAUUUUGUGUGGUGAUCAAGUGUUGUGAUGGCCAAGAAAUAGAAGUAACUAGCAAGUUUACUUGGUUGCUAGGUAAUGAAUAGUAAGGAGGUGGAAGUUGAGGAGGUUAAUAAGGAGGUGGGAUGGCCUAAAAGACUAAUAAGCCCUCACUUUGAGUUGCCUAUAAAUAGAAGGCUUGAUUUUUCAUUUGUUGGUUGUUCAAUUUCUCCUAACUCCUCUCAAAAUAAGUAACUUAAUUGUUAGAGAGAAUAAGCCACAUAAGCACUUAUAAGUUAUUUCAACCUUUGCUAGAUUUUCCAAAGUGAAGUGAAGUAAUAGUCUUCAAGGGUAAGACUCAUGUCUAUUAGCUUUAUCUCUUCUAUGAUAGGAUUGAUAGAGAAGUGGGAUUGUUUGAUAAUAACAUGUAAUAAGUCAUUGAUGAAUGAACUUAAGCCGAAUAAGUUGAAUAAGCAACUUGGACCUAAAUAAGUUGAUAAACUUAUGAAGAAUUUGUCAUAUGAUGUUAGUAUGUUCAAUAUAGUAUGAGAACAUUGAUUGAUGGACUUAAGUUCAUAGUAAGUCAUAAGCAUGAGAAUUUGUGGUUCAUAAGUUAAAUAAGUCAUUGACUUAUGAGAAUAAGUCAAAACCUACUUUGUCAAUAAGUUGGUGUAAUAAGUAACUUGAAAUUUUCAUGUGAAGAUUAAAAUCCAUUUUGAAUUAUUAGUAAUGAGGUUUUAUCAGAAUUCAAACGAUUGGACGAUAAUCGUCGAAUUCGUGAAAUUCUCGAAAUAAAAGUCGUAUUUUGUGUUGGAAGUCGAAAACGUUGGUUUUCGAUGGAGACAAGUUAUAUUUGGCAUUAUAGAGUUGUGGACUUGAAAAUGAUCGGAUUCUGACUUAGAACGAAGAAACGAGCAUUGAACGUUCACGAACGUUUAUCGUUUUCGUUAAAAUGAACUAAUAGGUGAAAUUUUAGUAAACGAAGUCAAAUAGAUAGAAUUCU
rnacentral:lncRNA from 1 species